rnacentral:rRNA from 1 species
CAGCAGCCGCGGGAAUACAGAGGAUGCAAGCGUUAUCCGGAAUUAUUGGGCGUAAAGCGCGCGCAGGCGGAUCAGUUAGUCUGUCUUAAAAGUUCGGGGCUUAACCCCGUGAGGGGAUGGAAACUGCUGAUCUAGAGUAUCGGAGAGGAAAGUGGAAUUCCUAGUGUAGCGGUGAAAUGCGUAGAUAUUAGGAAGAACACCAGUGGCGAAGGCGACUUUCUGGACGAAAACUGACGCUGAGGCGCGAAAGCCAGGGGAGCGAACGGGAUUAGAUACCCCCGUAGUCCCUGUCUCUUAUACA